rnacentral:rRNA from 1 species
CCCUUAGAUGUUCUGGGCCGCACGCGCGCUACACUGAUGCAUUCAACGAGCCUAUCCUUGACCGACAGGUCCGGGUAAUCUUUGAAUCUGCAUCGUGACGGGGAUAGAUUAUUGCAAUUAUUAAUCUUCAACGAGGAAUGCCUAGUAGGCGCAAGUCAUCAGCUUGCGUCGAUUACGUCCCUGCCCUUUGUACACACCGCCCGUCGCUCCUACCGAUUGGGUGUGCUGGUGAAAUGUUCGGAUCGGCCGUUUUUCGCGGUUUCCGCGUCAUGUGGCUGAGAAGUUCAUUAAACCCUCCCACCUAGAGGAAGGAGAAGUCGUAACA